AGACCCGAAACCCGGUGAUCUAGCCAUGGGCAGGUUGAAGGUUGGGUAACACUAACUGGAGGACCGAACCGACUAAUGUUGAAAAAUUAGCGGAUGACCUGUGGCUGGGGGUGAAAGGCCAAUCAAACCGGGAGAUAGCUGGUUCUCCCCGAAAGCUAUUUAGGUAGCGCCUCGUGAAUUCAUCUCCGGGGGUAGAGCACUGUUUCGGCUAGGGGGCCAUCCCGGCUUACCAACCCGAUGCAAACUGCGAAUACCGGAGAAUGUUAUCACGGGAGACACACGGCGGGUGCUAACGUCCGUCGUGAAGAGGGAAACAACCCAGACCGCCAGCUAAGGUCCCAAAGUCAUGGUUAAGUGGGAAACGAUGUGGGAAGGCCCAGACAGCCAGGAUGUUGGCUUAGAAGCAGCCAUCAUUUAAAGAAAGCGUAAUAGCUCACUGGUCGAGUCGGCCUGCGCGGAAGAUGUAACGGGGCUAAACCAUGCACCGAAGCUGCGGCAGCGAACGUAUCACCCAAGACAACUUUACGGAGUUGACGAUUGACGGAGCGAAGCGACGUCAAAGCGUUCAUUAAAGUCGAGUUGGCUUAGGGAUACGUUCGUUGGGUAGGGGAGCGUUCUGUAAGCCUGUGAAGGUGUGUCGUGAGGCAUGCUGGAGGUAUCAGAAGUGCGAAUGCUGACAUAAGUAACGAUAAAGCGGGUGAAAAGCCCGCUCGCCGGAAGACCAAGGGUUCCUGUCCAACGUUAAUCGGGGCAGGGUGAGUCGACCCCUAAGGCGAGGCCGAAAGGCGUAGUCGAUGGGAAAC
rnacentral:rRNA from 1 species